rnacentral:rRNA from 2 species
AAGCUCGUAGUUGAAAUUGUGUCCUGCGGUGUCGGUCUGCCGAUUGCGGUACGACAGGCACGUCUGCGGGACUUCUCGCCGGUGCGUCCACCGCCGAAGCGCGUCGGUCGAUCCUCGCGGUCGCGCCGUUCGCGUCCAGGCGGAACGUUGCGGCUGUUUACUUUGAACAAAUUAGAGUGCUCAAAGCGGGCUAACACUCGCCUGAAUAUUGUACGCAUGGAAUAAUAGAAUAGGACCUCGGUUCUGUUUUGUUGGCUUUCUGAUACCAGAGGUAAUGAUUAAUAGGGACAACUGGGGGCAUUCGUAUUGCGACGUUAGAGGUGAAAUUCUUGGAUCGUCGCAAGACGGACUAAAGCGAAAGCAUUUGCCAAAGGUGUUUUCAUUAAUCAAGAACGAAAGUUAGAGGUUCGAAGGCGAUUAGAUACCGCUGUAGUUCUAACCAUAAAUGAUGCCAGCCAGCGAUCCGCCGAAGUUUCAUAAUCUUAACCCGGUGGGCAGCUCCCGGGAAACCAA